GGGGAAUAUUGCACAAUGGGCGAAAGCCUGAUGCAGCAACGCCGCGUGUAUGAAGAAGGCCUUCGGGUUGUAAAGUACUUUCAGCGAGGAGGAAGGCGUUAAGGUUAAUAACCUUAGCGAUUGACGUUACUCGCAGAAGAAGCACCGGCUAACUCCGUGCCAGCAGCCGCGGUAAUACGGAGGGUGCAAGCGUUAAUCGGAAUUACUGGGCGUAAAGCGCACGCAGGCGGUCUGUCAAGUCGGAUGUGAAAUCCCCGGGCUCAACCUGGGAACUGCAUUCGAAACUGGCAGGCUAGAGUCUUGUAGAGGGGGGUAGAAUUCCAGGUGUAGCGGUGAAAUGCGUAGAGAUCUGGAGGAAUACCGGUGGCGAAGGCGGCCCCCUGGACAAAGACUGACGCUCAGGUGCGAAAGCGUGGGGAGCAAAC
rnacentral:rRNA from 1 species